rnacentral:tRNA from 1 species
GACCAGUUAGCCUAGUGGUUAAGGUUAUGGAUCGCCAAUACGGAGACGGCGGGUUCGAUUCCCGUUCCGGUCG